AAAGAUCAACACAUUUUUAUUUUUUCAAUAUUUUUGUUUUAUUUUUUGAUUUUUUUUAUUCAAGAUGACCAUGAUGUUGAAGACCUGACGGCCUUAAUGAUUAAAAUGAGCGUGCUCGAAAAAAAAAUUGACAAAAACAAUGAGGCGACGACAAGAAAAUUGGAUGCCCUAAACACAAAAAUGGCUUCACUCCAAAGAAUAAUGGGCACAAUGUCCGAUGCCAUUGAUGCCAUCAGACAAUCAUCCAUCAAUGAAGUAAGAGAAGAGACAGCUAUACAUUUCCCAAUCAAAAAUGACGAGGAAUUGAAAAAUUUGGAAGUCUUACUAGUAGAAGAACAAUUUGAAAAAGCGUUUCGCUCGAAAUUAAAAAAAGAAAAAACAAAAGAUGCUUAUCAUUUUAUGCGAAACGCUGUUGGACAAAUUUUUUACAAAACUACAAGACAUACUUGGAGCGGACGCGUGGGCCACAAUAGUGGCCACGAGGAGGAUGCUUGCAAGGCCUCUAAUCUGAACGUUGUGCGCAUUUUGCUUGAUGUUGCAAUGGAAAUUUUCCCUAUCACCCGAGACACCGCGAUCCAGGAAUUUAAAAAGGCACUUCAGAACAAAAAUGCCGCGGUUCAUAUGAACAAGGUUCGCGAUGCCAAAUUUGUCCAUGAAUAAAUAACGAGGGAAAACUACUGAACAAAUCAGUUAUGUGUAAAUGAGAUUAAAAGAGAAAUAUUUGUUGAGGACCAUCCAUAAACCACGUUGAUUUAUUUGUUAAUUUUUUAAACUUUCUAUGGACAAUGGCCGUAUUCCACUUAUUUCAGGCGGAAUAAAUUAAAUAGGAUUUGUUUCUGACAUGUCGAACUUGAACUCUAAUUUUCUAAAAUUCAUUUUUUUUAUUAUUUUCGGUGUUUUCACAUGUUGGGGUUUAUGAAAUGUCAAACGCAAAAGUGAUCCAUAAUUGUUAAGAGACAAUAAAAUAAUUUCAUAAGCGAUGGACAAAACGA
rnacentral:lncRNA from 1 species